rnacentral:rRNA from 1 species
UACGUAGGGUGCAGGCGUUAAUCGGAAUUACUGGGCGUAAAGCGUGCGUAGGUGGUUUGUUAAGACAGGUGUGAAAUCCCCGGGCUUAACCUGGGACUGCGCUUGUUACUGGCAGACUUGAGUGUGGCAGAGGGGGGUGGAAUUCCAGGUGUAGCAGUGAAAUGCGUAGAUAUCUGGAGGAACACCGGAUGGCGAAGGCAGCCCCCUGGGCUAACACUGACGCUGGAU